ensembl:lncRNA
GUUUUCCCACCCACUAACUGAGAGUUCCUGUGGAGAAGUGACAUGUUGCAGCUUUGAGCUCCAGGGAUCAGAUUCCUUAUGCUUUGCUGCUAUCCAGCAUAGUGUUCUCAAACCUAAGCCAAUUCACAUUAAUAGAACACUUUCAUGUGAUCCAGAGAACCUUACGUAGAAGAGGAGUAAAAGGCAGCAAAGGACCUUGUGGGAUCAGGGGAAGAAGUGUGUGUUGAGACAUACUUAGAUAGGUAGAUAGAUAAUUUAAAGAAGACUAGCCAGUGAAUGAUCCAGGUGAUCUGCAAAGCUUCAGGUCAAAAUGGGCAAUGAAAACAGCAGCCCAGAAAAUCAGGACAUUCCUCCUGUUACAGAACCUGUGCAGCCACCCAGUAAUGACAGAGAGAUAAAAAAGAAAAAACAGAGGAAAAAAACCAGAGACAGAUCUGUUGACCAAGAAGGUUUUGAUACCUCGUCUUUAGAUUCUGCUGUUUCAUUACCGGUGCCAGAUAAUGGCUCGUCCUUCAUGCCAGGAGAAGCAAGAGGGAGCUGCUCUUUAAUGUUUGACCAGAAGGAAAGGGCAUCUAACCUAUUACUUGCCCCAAAUAAUCUUCUUUUUACUGGACUUGAUGUAAACGAAGAUUUAAGGUCCCAAACUCCAGUCAUAAGCAGCCUUAGUAAUGAAGGCCUUUGUAGCAACGAAGAAUCACCCGGUGCAAAAACACUUUCGGUGUCUCCAGAGGUAACAACACUGGAAAACAUCCCGUGUGAAGAAAAAGAAGGAGGAGCUAUAUCUGGCUUCCUGGAAUGGGCUGAAGGAACAAAAGACAAAAGACAAGUUGACUGUGCCAAGGAAUGUGCUGCUUGGAGUCUUGAGGGUAGCGCUGGGGAACUGCCUACCCUGGUGCCAUCUAUGAAUUCUACAAAGGACAAUGGCAGAAGUGCUGUUCCUGAUCUAUAUCUGGACAGCGGCUUGAAUGUUGAGCUGUCUGCUACCACUUUUGCAAUACGGGAUAAAAGAGAUCCUGAUAACUCUAGCUCAGAAAAUAAUUCCUCAACAGAUGUCACUUGGAUGUCAGGAGCUGGGGUAGCACAAACCAUUUCAAGCGAAUUAGACCCAUUAUGGCAGAUUGAACAGCUGAGUGACAAGACAAAAGCACAUGUUAUCUCAUUACCCGAGAGGGAAGGGGGAGGUUGUUCUAUCACUGAAGGGAACAGCCAGGAGGCAGGAUUUUGGGAAGUGGGUCACAAGGAAGAGGCACUGGCAAAACCAGGUGGACAGGACACAGAUGGUCUAGACAGCCUGUUAAUGGAGCAGGAAACCUUAAUCCCAAAUUAUCCCACCAUGGGAGGUUCAGACAUGAAAAAAUAUGGAGCAGUUGUUGAUGGCCAGAGUUCUGUCAAGUGUGGCGAUGCCACCAGUGAACUCAAGAGUGAUGCUGUAACAAGCAAAAAAUAUGAACUCCAGGAAGAGUUUACUGAGCAGAAUAGUCAGCAGUCUUACGCAGCUCCUGUUAUGCCCUUGAACCCAUCAAAUCUGUCUCUGAAAACUACAGUAGAAGCAAAAAAUGAGAGUUCUGUAUUUGAAAAAGAACAGCCAGAUCAAACUGAAAGUGAAAAAACAGAAGGCCUAUUAUUUACAGAAAUAAAAAAUCACAGUGUGGAUUUACUAGUUAGCUGUGGGCCUUCUGCUGUGUCCUUAUUGCCUGAUGAAAACCAGAAGCAAAAAGCAAGCAUUGUGUCUGAGAACAGAGGAGAGCAAGUUGGCAGCAAUGAAACCACACACGUUAAGGAUGUGAGUGGGGGAAACGUCACUCUAGCUGACCCAGAAAAUCUUACGUGUUUUAUGAAGGAAGAUUCCAUUAAAAAUAAAAGAUCAUCACUGGUGGGAAGUGUAAGAGAUUUUGCAAGUGAGAAUGAGCUUACCACACACAUUAAAAAAGAGAGUAUAGUACCUGAGAAAAACAAAGAUGGUUCUUUGGGAGAUAGUGGAAGUCAAGACAGGCUGGACGUAGCAAGUUUGAAUACACAGAAAGAGGCAAACUCUUUCCAAGGGGUGCCGCUAAGCUUUGAUAUUGACAAAAGGCAAGAAAGCCCCGAGAUGCACUGGGAGGAUUACUUUUUCCAAAGUGGUACCAGUGGUAAAGAUUUAGAAGCAGACUUUGGUGCAGAAUGUCGUCUGAGAACACCUUAUGACCAUUCACCUGAAUUAAGUCAAGGUUCAGAGAGAAAGAAAACAGUCCCAUAUGAAAUAGAGGAUAAAAGCCUUCUCUCUGCUGAAGCGCAACAAUUACAAGAGCAAAAACGUUCACAAAGCGGCACCCUUUUACCAGAAGGCACACUACUCAACUUUCCAGCCAGUGAAAUGACAGGGAAAGUUUGUUCAGCAGAUGCGCAUGGUUCACUGGUGCUGCACUCGGAGAACAACAUUGUUAUGCAAAACAAGCGUGAUGAAUCCUGGGAGCACACAUUUUCUCAAAGAACUGAAUGGGAGUUGGAAGGCCACACUACGCAUGAACUAGCAUCUGAAAGCAGCGCAACAUCGGCAGAAAUAACACGAGUUCCUGAAGCAGAAUUGAAGCAUCAAAACUUAGAUGAGUGGGCCAAGGUUGCUGAAUCCACUGCAACAGAAAAAGCACAAGUCCAGGAAGAUACACCUCUUUCUGAAAGCAAAGCAUGUAGCCCAAUGGUUUGUGGCGAUGCUGACAGUGUCCCUGUGACUGUUCCGGAACAAAGCAAUGAUGUGGAUCAGAAAGAAAGUAAUGAACCUGAUCAGGAGGAAUACGAAGCCGAAAUGAAAAGUCAGGUUGUUGACAUGACGUUGGCACAGAAACCCCAAAGCAAAGUGAACUCCCUGCAGCAAGCAGAGCAGGAACAAACGAGUGAAGAAAAUGACCAAAGUCUGAAGAAAUUGUAUUCAGGCAGCCCACAGGCAUCGGUGAGCAUUGUGGAAACUGGUUCCCUGCAGCCAACAUUUAGAGGCGUGCACAACAGCAACUUAAAAGAGAAUAAUCCAGAAGAGAGUAAUGAUGGUAAAGCAUCUCUGGAAACUCUUCAAGGGGAAGCUGGAGAAAGGCAACAGGUGGUGGCCAUUUUGAUGCCCUCUCCACAAGUGGAAUCUAAAGUUAGUCCAGAGUCCCCUGGCUCCAUCUGCAGUAAUCAACAGCACACUGCAAAAACAGAACUCAAAGAUUCCAGUCACAACAAUCUUCCAACAGCAACAAGUCCUGGAGAACAAAAGCACAAUGAAACACCUCCUGCACUGGAGUUAAAUCAACCCAGUAGCCACCAGGGCAUGUGUGAAAGUGAACGGACAAUAACAGGAGAUGUUUUUGAUAAACCCCAAACAGUGUCUGUUGGAUUCGAGGCGAAGCCAAUUGAUCCCGAAGCUCUUCCAGUUGAAAAGGCAUCUUGGUCAAAUGUAUCUGAGUCUGCAAGAGACAGUGUGCAAGACAGGCGCCUGACAACUCAAAUAAACCAAAAAGUAGAAGAAAGUUUUCCUAGCAAGGGAGCCUUAAGUGAGUUCAGGCAGGAGGUUUAUGAUUCUCUGGAUUCAGAGAGUCUUUGGGAAGAAAAAAAUCUCAGCUAUGCCUUUGCCAAAGUGCCUGAUACAAGCAAGCAGCCAAGUAGUUUAUGCAAUCUGACAGGCAGCCCAGAUGAAAGUGCUGUUGGUGUUACAGAGUACGUUCCAGAGAUGCAGAAAACAGUCACUGCCAAUGCUGAACAGCCAGAGACCUUGCUAGUGGGUUUUGAAAUAAAUGGCUCUGAUGACAAUUAUAAAUCGAACAGCGUUGACCUUAACCUACCAACAGAACCGGAAGAAAAAGGUUCAAACAUAGAAAUAAAUGAGAAUCCAAGUUUAAAGGAGGAAACCACCCCCAAAGAUGAACCUGGAGAAAUAAAUUAUGAAAAGGAGUUGAUUUUCACAGCUGCUGAAAAAGCAGGAAUACAGAAAUAUCCUCCUGUGUCAUCUGGACUCACAGUAAUCCCUGCCAGUAGUACUUUGCACAAAACAGACCAUAUUGAAAAGCUGGAGUUUCUACCUGUUGGCUCACAAGCAGAACUAAGAGGGCUUUCUGUGCCAGCAUUUUCACAUGAUCAACAAACCAGAAUAAACCAGGAACCUACAAAUGGCAUGAAUGAUGUCAUUGUGGGCGAAUUACAAAACAAGGAACUCGAAGUCACAGCCUGCCAAAAUAUCUUAGGUACCACUCCCAGUUUACAGACUGUUGCUGGAGCUGCUACACCCAUACACCUAGGUGAUGUUUUAGCAGAGGAAGGCUCAACAGAUCAAAGAAUGUCUGAAGUGCUAAAUUCAGACAACAUUCCUUCAGAGACAGUCCCAGAGAAAAAGUGUGUGAUUCCAGACCAAGGGUCCCAAUCAGAAGAGAGUGCACCACUGGCAGAAAUUCUACCAGCUCCCUUGCAAGACUCUUGUGAGACAGGGCAGUUAGAAGGAAGUUUGUCACCAUUUAAUUUUGAGAAGCUGCAGACUGAGAUCUCUGCAAUUAAAACAAAAGGAGCAAAAAGUGAUGUAAACUUCAAAGCCCAGCAGUUUGACAGCUCGGUAAAUUCUCUCUUCAGCCUUUCAAGCUUAGAAGAGAAGCUUCUAAGCCUUUCAUCUUCUGGUAAGCAAGCAGGCUGUAAUGAGGGUACGGCAACAAAUAUCGGCUGUGUAGAUGACAAGUGCAGUACGAUCACAGAAAGCACAGGGAAAGCAGGAAACAGCAAAUGCACUUUUGCAGAGGAUUUCAGCAUCCCCAAGAUGGAAAUAGAGACCUCCAAGCAGUCCACAGCGACUUCCGAAAAAGAGCAGAACGACCUGUCUUCCAGGACCUUUGGCAUUGGCUUUUUUGAUUUCAGAAAGCAUAUAAGCAAAAUAUUUGAGAAGACAGUGCCAAGUGCUUCGACAGCAGAGUUGGCUCCCCUUUCAGCUGAAACCAGUACAGGUGAAGGAGACAGCCUGGCAGCUAAAGAAAUAAGUGAGUGCAAGCAUGGAUUGAGCAAAGGGGAUGAAGUCAACAGAAAUAGAGAAGCAGGCUGUGACCAGACAACAGAAGGAUGCAUGUUACCAUCAGAAGCUGGGGCACUUGAAAGAUCUGCUGAGGAAAAGAUAUUGCAGGGGGGAAAGCCAGUGACAAUCACUCCAGAAUACUACUUGCCAGGUGCCUUUUCGGAAGAUAUCACUAUCCAGAAAUCCUGUUUAAGUGAAGAACCUUUGACAAGUGCACCAAAGGUAGACUGUCAGGUGGAUAGCUUGAGCAGUAGCAAGGGGACAGCAGAAGAAUGUGGAUGUGUUAGUGCUAUAAGCAGUGACAAUGAUGUGAAUCAGGUGAGCUUGGAAGCAGAAGUGCAGCAUCCAGUAAAUUCUCAUACCUCAGAAACAGAUCAUUUACUGUCUGGUAAUGAAGUCUCUUUAUGUAUCUUUGCCUCAAAAGGAGAGGUUCUAGAGAGUGAUUUUGACAAAACAACAAUGGCAGAAGUGAAGGAAAGCAAUUUAAUUAGUCAGUGUGACACAGGUUUAUCUAAGGAAGAGCUAAUACAUUAUGGAAACCAACAGCACUACCCAAUGCCUGGUGAAGACAAGGGAAAUGAAGAGAAUGUUGUUGAUUUAGGUGACACAUCAGCAUUGCCAUCUCUUCUUGAUAGUCUUGAUGUUCACCAAGAACAACAGCCCAGGAUAUUGCCUGCGGAAGACCAGCAAAACUCCACCUGCAGUGAUCUUUUGGAUGAAAAUACAGUUAAUGACAAAGUAUUCAUGACACCAAAAGCCCUGGAAUGUACAGAAUUCUUGCCCAUUUUAGUUGAUGCACCAGAACAAGAGAAAAUACAGGACACAGCAAUACAUGGAUUAAUAGAUUACCUCAAAAAUGAAAUGGAUCCUAAUGGUUCCUCCAUAGGUGAUGGCAAACCAGAACACAGCAGUGUGAGUGAGGCUGGUGUAGAAGAAACAGAUGACACCAAGUUGAGCACCAUAGAAAAUGAACCAUGUAUUUCUAUUGACACCCCUAAAACAGGUAUUACAGGGACAUUAUUCACCAACGACCAUGACUCAGUUUUGCAAACUACCAAAUGCAAACAGGAGGCUGAUGCAACAAAGCUUUCUGAAGCCAUUCAAAGAAGGGAGCAAAAUGUAUGUAUAGAUGAUGAAGCUGCUUCUGCAAGUCAAUGCAAAGAAGAACAUUUGGCAGAUGAGAAGUCCCUUUUGGAUGUCCAGGAAAAAGGGUCAAGCACUUCGCUCAGUGAAUAUGAACAGUGUCUCCCUAGUGAAUCUCAGAACAUGGCUACAGAUGAAUUACUUCCCGAAAGCAAUUUUCGUGAGCUCUGUCAUUCUCUCCUUGCUGUACCUGAGAAGGACUCUAUAGCCGUAGCAGUCAAAGACAUCUCAAAUGAGGAAAGAGAUGACAUCAGAGUAGAAAGCUCCUCUCUCUCUGUGGAUAUCGUCAAACAGGCACCAGAUGUGGCUACAUCUGAACAGCCACUAACUACUGUUCUUUCUGAUGAACAUGAGACUGCUCAAGUUUCUGCUGAUCUUACCGAACCAAGCAUUUCCCAGUCUGGUUGUUACCAAGAUAGAGACAGCAGUGUCACAUCUGUUCCUGAAUUUCAGUCUUUGACUCUCCAGCCAGUUACCAAGGUAGAACAACCUGCCUAA